GGGGCUGUGGCGGAACUGGCAGACGCGCCGGAUUUAGGAUCCGGUCCUUCACAGGGUGCAGGUUCGAGUCCUGUCAGCCCCA
rnacentral:tRNA from 1 species